UACGGAGGGUGCAAGCGUUAAUCGGAAUUACUGGGCGUAAAGCGCACGCAGGCGGUUUGUUAAGUCAGAUGUGAAAUCCCCGGGCUCAACCUGGGAACUGCAUUUGAGACUGGGAAGCUUGAGUCCCGUAGGGGGGGGUAGAAUUCCAGGUGUAGCGGUGAAAUGCGUAGAGAUCUGGAGGAAUACCGAAGGCGAAGGCGGCCCCCUGGACGAAGACUGACGCUCAGGUGCGAAAGCGUGGGGAGCAAAAAGG
rnacentral:rRNA from 1 species